GACGUAGGAGGCGAGCGUUGUCCGGAUUCAUUGGGCGUAAAGAGCGCGCAGGCGGUUUGGUAAGUCGGAUGUGAAAACCCGGAGCUCAACUCCGGGCCUGCAUCCGAAACUGCCCGACUAGAGGUAGGUAGGGGAGAUCGGAAUUCCUGGUGUAGCGGUGAAAUGCGCAGAUAUCAGGAGGAACACCGGUGGCGAAGGCGGAUCUCUGGGCCUUACCUGACGCUCAGGCGCGAAAGCUAGGGGAGCGAACAGG
rnacentral:rRNA from 1 species